AACGGUCUAUACCUGCGGUACCUGCGGAAGGAUCAUUAUCAAUUUACAGCGGACUUCGGUCCUGUCUGCACCCUUGUCUUUUGCGUACUAUAUGUUUCCUCGGUGGGCUUGCCUGCCGAUAGGACACUUAUAAACUCUUUUGUAAUUGCAAUCAGCGUCAGAAAACUAUAAUAGUUACAACUUUCAGCAACGGAUCUCU
rnacentral:misc_RNA from 1 species